rnacentral:rRNA from 1 species
AACGAACGCUGGCGGCAGGCUUAACACAUGCAAGUCGAGCGCCCCGCAAGGGGAGCGGCAGACGGGUGAGUAACGCGUGGGAAUCUACCCAUCUCUACGGAAUAACGCAUGGAAACGUGUGCUAAUACCGUAUACGUCCUUCGGGAGAAAGAUUUAUCGGAGAUGGAUGAGCCCGCGUUGGAUUCGCUAGUUGGUGGGGUAAAGGCCUACCAAGGUGACGAUCCAUAGCUGGUCUGAGAGGAUGAUCAGCCACACUGGGACUGAGACACGGCCCAGACUCCUACGGGAUGCAGCAGUGGGGAAUAUUGGACAAUGGGCGCAAGCCUGAUCCAGCCAUGCCGCGUGAGUGAUGAAGGCCCUAGGGUUGUAAAGCUCUUUCACCGGUGAAGAUAAUGACGGUAACCGGAGAAGAAGCCCCGGCUAACUUCGUGCCAGCAGCCGCCGUAAUAC